CCUGAAUUCACUAUGUAGACCAGGCUAGCCUCAAACGCACAGAGAUCAGCCUGCCCCUGCCUCUUGGAUGCUGGGAU
ensembl:miRNA predicted gene, 24103